CCGAGUGCGGGCCCUCUGGGUCCAACCUCCCACCCGUGUUUACCGUACCCUGUUGCUUCGGCAGGCCCGCCACUGCGGCCGCCGGGGGGGCCUCUGCCCCCGGGCCUGCGCCUGCCGAAGACCCCUUGAACCCUGCCUGAAGAAUGCCGUCUGAGUGGGUAGCGAAUUUAGUUA
rnacentral:misc_RNA from 1 species